UUCUCUUCAUUGUGUAUCAUAUUUCAAAUUGGAACUCAUGAGCAAUAGUUUCUUCUUCUCCUCGAUGGUGUUGUCGUAUUCAUCUCUCCGUUGGCGUUCAUCUCUUCAUUGAAGUAGGGAAGACAAGAAGUCAAUUUCAUUUCUCAUAAAAUCCUUCGAGUGGUGACCAAGAUAGAAGGAUGAAUGACAAAUCAUAUGAGAAUUUAGAUGAAAGUAAUACUACUUUUGAAAUGGAAAUUAAAGUCCAGUACAAUAUUAGACAUCGAUAUUGCAACAUUUGUGAUUGUUUUUGGGGUCACAAACCAAGUGUUAACAACCAACCAUUGUCAAAGGAAAGAAAAUUACUUCAAUUCUCUCAGGAUACAAAUAAUAUACUGGAUUGAUAACUAUAAAAGACAAUAGUUUUUUUUUGAGCAACUUCAGAUGAAGAAGCAAGUCUUUUUGGCAUUUGGCAUGCGAGUUGACCAAUAAUUGUGGAUUGACACCUACCAAACACAUUGGAGUAGAGGAAAGAGUCGUGACAUUCUUAUAUAUGAUAAAUUAGCAUUCCUAAUAUAGAAAUGUCCAAGAGUUGCUUCAACAUUCAGGUUAGACUAUCCAUAAACAUUUCAAUAAAAUUUUAAAAGUUCUAUCCAAAUUAGAGAAAACAUCAUUAGACCUCUUGAUCAUGUUGACUCUUUUUCUCCAUAUUUUAGAUAUGACCAUUCAUAUUGGUCUCACUUUAAAAACUGUAUAUGAAAAAUAGUUGACACAUAUUAUUAAUCUAUAUGUCCCGACAGAUAAACAAAAACAUUUUUUUAAUAGGAACACACCUACACCUACAAAUGUGAUGGAAGUGUGAUUUCAACUCAUUCAAAUAUGAUAGAAGUUUGUGAUUUCAAUAUAUGUAUUUACUUUUAUUACUAUGUGGAUGAAAAAUCUUU